rnacentral:tRNA from 1 species
UGCUCCAUCGUCUAACGGCAAGACGACUGACUCUGGCUCAGUUAAUCGAGGUUCGAAUCCUUGUGGAGCAGC